rnacentral:tRNA from 1 species
AUUUUAGUAGCUUAUAAUUUUAGAGCAUAGCACUGAAGAUGCUAAGGAAGCGAAUACGCUCUAAGAUA